rnacentral:rRNA from 1 species
AGAGUUUGAUCCUGGCUCAGAUUGAACGCUGGCGGCAUGCUUUACACAUGCAAGUCGAACGGCAGCGCGGGCUUCGGCCUGGCGGCGAGUGGCGAACGGGUGAGUAAUAUAUCGGAACGUACCCAGAAGUGGGGGAUAACGUAGCGAAAGUUACGCUAAUACCGCAUACGAUCUACGGAUGAAAGUGGGGGACCGCAAGGCCUCAUGCUUUUGGAGCGGCCGAUAUCUGAUUAGCUAGUUGGUAGGGUAAUGGCCUACCAAGGCGACGAUCAGUAGCUGGUCUGAGAGGACGACCAGCCACACUGGAACUGAGACACGGUCCAGACUCCUACGGGAGGCAGCAGUGGGGAAUUUUGGACAAUGGGGGCAACCCUGAUCCAGCAAUGCCGCGUGAGUGAAGAAGGCCUUCGGGUUGUAAAGCUCUUUUGUCAGGGAAGAAACGGCUGAGGCUAAUAUCCUCGGCUAAUGACGUAC